UACGUAGGGUCCGAGCGUUAAUCGGAAUUACUGGGCGUAAAGCGUGCGCAGGCGGUGAUGUAAGACAGUUGUGAAAUCCCCGGGCUCAACCUGGGAACUGCAUCUGUGACUGCAUCGCUGGAGUGCGGCAGAGGGGGAUGGAAUUCCGCGUGUAGCAGUGAAAUGCGUAGAUAUGCGGAGGAACACCGAUGGCGAAGGCAAUCCCCUGGGCCUGCACUGACGCUCAUGCACGAAAGCGUGGGGAGCAAACAGG
rnacentral:rRNA from 1 species